UACGUAGGGUGCGAGCGUUGUCCGGAUUUAUUGGGCGUAAAGGGCUCGUAGGCGGCUUGUCGCGUCGGGAGUGAAAGCCCGCUGCUUAACGGCGGGUUUGCUUUCGGUACGGGCUGGCUGGAGUGCGGCAGGGGAGACUGGAAUUCCUGGUGUAGCGGUGGAAUGCGCAGAUAUCAGGAGGAACACCGGUGGCGAAGGCGGGUCUCUGGGCCGAUACUGACGCUGAGGAGCGAAAGCGUGGGGAGCGAACAGG
rnacentral:rRNA from 1 species